rnacentral:rRNA from 1 species
CCUACGGGAGGCAGCAGUGGGGAAUAUUGGGCAAUGGGCGCAAGCCUGACCCAGCAACGCCGCGUGAAGGAAGAAGGCUUUCGGGUUGUAAACUUCUUUUAAGAGGGAAGAGCAGACGACGGUACCUCUUGAAUAAGCCACGGCUAACUACGUGCCAGCAGCCGCGGUAAUACGUAGGUGGCCAGCGGUGUCCGGAUUUACUGGGUGUAACGGGCGUGUAGCCGGGCUGACAAGUCAGAUGUGAAAUUCCGGGGCGCAACCCCGGACCUGCAUUUGAAACUGUUGGUCUUGAGUAGCGGAGAGGCAGGCGGAAUUCCUAGUGUAGCGGUGAAAUGCGUAGAUAUUAGGAGGAACACCAGUGGCGAAGGCGGCUUACUGGACUGUAACUGACGUUGAGGCUCGAAAGCGUGGGUAGCAAACAGGAUUAGAUACCCCAGUAGUC